UUACGGGUUGCACCAGUGAGGAAUAUUGCACAAUGGGGGGAACCCUGAUGCAGCAACGCCGCGUGGAGGAUGACGCAUUUCGGUGUGUAAACUCCUUUUAUAUGUCAAGAAAAUGACGGUAGCAUAUGAAUAAGCACCGGCUAACUCCGUGCCAGCAGCCGCGGUAAUACGGAGGGUGCAAGCGUUACUCGGAAUCACUGGGCGUAAAGGACGCGUAGGCGGGUUGGAAAGUCAGGUGUGAAAUCCUACAGCUUAACUGUAGAACCGCACUUGAAACUUCUAAUCUAGAGUAUGGGAGGGGGAGAUGGAAUUAGUGGUGUAGGGGUAAAAUCCGUAGAUAUCACUAGGAAUACCUAAAGCGAAGGCGAUCUCCUGGAACAUUACUGACGCUAAGGCGUGAAAGCGUGGGGAGCGAACAGGAUUAGAUACCCUUGUAGUC
rnacentral:rRNA from 1 species